rnacentral:rRNA from 1 species
CCUACGGGCGGCAGCAGUGGGGAAUAUUGCACAAUGGGCGCAAGCCUGAUGCAGCCAUGCCGCGUGUGUGAAGAAGGCCUUCGGGUUGUAAAGCACUUUCAGCGGGGAGGAAGGCGUUAAGGUUAAUAACCUUGUCGAUUGACGUUACCCGCAGAAGAAGCACCGGCUAACUCCGUGCCAGCAGCCGCGGUAAUACGGAGGGUGCAAGCGUUAAUCGGAAUUACUGGGCGUAAAGCGCACGCAGGCGGUCUGUCAAGUCGGAUGUGAAAUCCCCGGGCUCAACCUGGGAACUGCAUUCGAAACUGGCAGGCCAGAGUCUUGUAGAGGGGGGUAGAAUUCCAGGUGUAGCGGUGAAAUGCGUAGAGAUCUGGAGGAAUACCGGUGGCGAAGGCGGCCCCUGGACAAAGACUGACGCUCAGGUGCGAAAGCGUGGGGAGCAAACAGGAUUAGAUACCCCAGUAGUC